GUCGCACCUACCGAUUGAAUGGUCCGGUGAGGACUCGGGAUUGUGGUUUGGCUCCUUCAUUGGUACCUGGCCGUGAGAACUUGUCCAAACCUUAUCAUUUAGAGGAAGGUG
rnacentral:rRNA from 1 species